GCUUACCUGAACAAGGCAAAUAGUAAUAUUCCUUCUUUGAUUUCCAUAAAGUUAUAUCAACUGCAUGCAUUCAAAAUUGACACAUCCAUUGAAGAAGGCUGCAUGGAACAAAGAAUGGAUUUCACAUAAUACCACAUAGUAAACAAAUCAAAUUAAUUUCACUUUCCCAUAUCAAUCUAUCAUUCAAAUUGGUUACAGAAAGACAUGACAACACACAAUUUAAACCAGAAUGUUAAUAAAUUAACCUCAAACUAACUUCGAUUAUUUGGAAAUCCUUCAACGAAUAAAAGGUGGAAGCAGGUCAAAAACCGUAUUCUCAGAAGAACAAUUGCACACAUUGCAGAAAUACAGAUUAAACUAAAAAAUGCAAAUAAGUGAGAAACCUUUAUUGACAUUCUGAACCCUAGAUCUCAUGUCCUCCACUUUUGGUUAAGUUCAUAGUAACAUGAUCUGGAACCAAAUAAGUUCACAAUCUGACUUCUGAAGAAAGCUCUAAACUAAUGGAAAACCCAGAUUCAUGGAAAACAAAUCGCAAAUUCAUGGACUUCUGAAGCGUUUUCGGAAGAUAGAAACCGAAUCGAAGCGUUUUCGGAAGAUAGAAACCGAAUCGAAGCGUUUUCGGAAGAUAUAAACCGAACCUAAGCGUUUUCGAAAGAUAGAAACCGAAUCGAAGCGUUUUUGGUAGAUAGAAAUUGAAUCAAAUCAUUUUCGGUAUAUAGAAACCGAAUAUAAGGAAGAUGAAGAUGUUAAGAUGGCGUUUUCAGAACACAGAAGCGUUGUUGUUCUGUUUUCAUCAACACAACACAACCCAAAAACAUAACAAGUN
rnacentral:lncRNA from 1 species